GCGUCGCAUGUGUGCUUGUUGGAGGUAGAGCUACUGGUUGGUUGAGCGGGACGAUAAUCUUAGCAACAUCAGCUAAACUCCGAAUGCCAGCAAUGUGUGUGCGGCAGUGAGACUGCGGGGGAUAAGCUCCGUUGGUCGAGAGGGAAACAGCCCAGAUCGUCGGUUAAGGCCCCUAAGGGUGUGCUCAGUGGGAAAGGAUGUGGGAUCGCGAAGACAGCCAGG
rnacentral:rRNA from 1 species